UUGUAACACAAGGAGGAGGAGGGCAGGCUGUCAUUCUUAUCAAGCUGGGGCUCAGCUUUUGUCCCCAGUCUGGGCCCAGCUCUCUUUGAUCCUGGCAAGGCCAUUGUUUCCCCAGUGCUGGCCUCUCUGCCUUGCAGGGGAAAAUGUGGUCUUUGUUCUUCUGAGACUUUUUUAUCCAAGUUCUGCCCUGGUGGGGACAAGCCGGGAGGGGCUCCGUGUGAGGAUCCAGUCCCCGCAGCUGAGGGACAAGGGCCGCCCCUGUCUCCUGGCCUCCGCCUUGCGUGGGUUGCUCAGAACCUUCUGGCUUGCACAAGUCAUGCUGUGUUGGGGGUGGAGAGGGAACACUGGGCAGUUUCAGCUUCUUUAUUUUUAAAAAUUGCCUUUGUUAACGUUUCCAGCGUGACCUUAAUAUAAAUCAAAUGCAGCAAACACUUGGCGAAAACCUGCAUUUGAAUCUUAGUGCAGCUAUUUACUGGCUGGGUCAACGUGGGUUAGACAUUUCACCAAUUGGGGUCUCAGUUGCCUUCUCUACACAAUCAGGAAAAUGAAAAUAUUUAUGCUACAGUAUUAUCGGGAGGUUUUAUUCAUCCAUUGAAUAUCUGUUAAGCAUCAACUCUUCGUCAAGCACUGUGGUCUGUGCUGUAGAAGCAGUGCAGAAUGAGAUAGACUUGAUCAAAUGCCUCCUGAAGCUUACCAGAGAAGGACAUUCAACUGACAUAUUUGUGAGUCCUGCAAGAAGAAGUGCAGAUUGUCAGGGCAGCGUGUACUAGCGCUUCACUGAGUCUUGGUGGUCAAGAGAGAAUUUUGCAAAAAUUCAACAUGCAUCAAAGGAAGCUGGGACUUGGGAGCUAAUUGAACACAUUGGUCCCUCCCACCCCCAAACCCCUGCGCAGGAUCAGAUCCUUUACCAACACCUGCUGGGUUUGAGCAGGUUUAAGAAACUCCUGGCCCCUCUAGGGAACAUACUCAGCUGAAAAGGAGUAGAGGCUGGGAACUGCUCCAGGGGCCUGGAAAUUGAUGAAGAUGCAUACAAGAUGAGACAGCUGAGACUCAGAGAAGUGAGGGUAACUUGCCUGAAGCCACACAGCUAAGCAUACCUGAAGGUGAAACUCUUUUAAUGCUACUCAGAGGUACGGAAACUGAGGCACAGAGACAAUAAGGUGCAAAGAAGGCAUAUCUCCACCCCAACUCAUUUAGAAUGGAUUAAAAAAUUCUUCACGAAGCAUGCUCGCGUUCUGGAAAAUUCAGAUUUUAAUUUUCUACCUCUCUUCUGCACCCAGUGGUUGAACAUACAACAUCCUCAACAAUGCAGAAGGCUAUCAAUUUCACUGCACCCUUGCUAGCACUGGGCAUUAUUGUUAUUACUGGUAAAGUUAUUAGAAGAAAUAAGGGGCUGGAAGGAUGUUCUUACCCUAUCACUUACCAUGACCUGCAGUAACGUUGGAAGCGCCACUGGGAAAAGGAUCACCUGCAGACAAUAUGCAGGAUGAGUGACACACACCAUCCUGUCCAAUCCCUCCAUCAUCCUAGAUGAAGGCGAACUAUUACCUCCAUUGUAUUUAUUUAAGGAUUCAACAAUAAUUAUAAGUGAGAAUCCCAGUUUCUACUCAUUUAUUCUAAACCAAACACACAUAAGUCAACUAUCCUGGGCUCUUCAAAAAUGUCAGUGCCAUGAAAGAAAGAAAGAAAAAGGGCAUAAGAACUAUUGUAUACUAGAAUCUGCCUGUAACUCAGGAGUCUCAGGAGACAUGGGUUCGAUCCCUGAGUUCGGAAGAUCCCCUGGAGGAGGAAAUGGCUGCCGACUCCAGUAUUCUUGCUCAGAAAAUCCCAUGGACAGAGGAGCCUGGUGUGCUACAGUCCAUACGGUUGUAAAGAAUUGGAUAUGACUGAGCGCACAUGCGUGACACUUGAAAGAGACGUGACAUCCAAGUGUGGUGUGUGAUACGUGUUUGGAUGCUGGAUUGGAAAAAGAAAGAACAGCUGUAAAGAGAAUUACUGGGAAAUGUUAAAUACUAAACAUGUAUUCCAUAGUAUUUUAUAAAUAUUAAAUUUGGAAGCAUGAUAAUGAUAUCAUAUGAGAGAAUAAAAUUGUAAGAGAUGCAUAUUAAAGUAUUUAGAGAUACUAGUGUUUUUAUAUUGGUAAGUUAUGUUCCAAUAAUUCACAAACUAUAUAUGUGUGUGUGUGUGUGUGCACACAUAUAUAAAGAGAGAGAGGUAAGGAAAGAGCCAAUAUGGCAAAAUAUUAACAGUUAAUAAAUUUGUAUAGAAAUCAUAGGAAUUAAUUGGACUAUUAAUGUUUCUGUUUUAAUUUCUCUGAAACUUUAAAAAAUUAAAAGGUGGGUGAAAUGGUAGCAGGUAUUACAUAUUAAGGAUCAUAUAUCUAGUAGCAAGAGUGUUACAUAUCAAUUACCAAGUGCUGCUGCUGCUGCUAAGUCGCUUCAGUCGUGUCCGACUCUGUGCAACCCCAGAGACGGCAGCCCACCAGGCUCCCCCGUCCCUGGGAUUCUCCAGGCAAGAACACUGGAGUGGGUUGCCAUUUCCUUCUCCAAUGCAUGAAAGUGAAAAGUGAAAGUGAAGUCGCUCAGUCGUGUCCGACUCUUCGCGACCCCAUAGACGGCAGCCCACCAGGCUCCUCCGUCCAUGGGAUUGUCCAGGCAAGAGCACUGGAGUGGGGUGCCAUUGCCUUCUCCACCAAGCGUUAGUGGCAUGUAUUACAAAUCAAGUGCUGACUGUGCUAGGCUUGUGUUAAGUGUUUUACAUACAUCAUUAAUUUAUUUAAUCCUCAUCACAAUCCUCUAAGGCAGCUAACAUUUCUUUAUACUUGAGGUAUCUGAGGUUCAGAGAGGUGCAGAAACUUGUUCAAGGUCACUCAGUUAACAGGGAAGGAAGCAGAGGCACCGAGAGAGGAGUAACCUGCCCAGACCAUCACCUAAAUAAUGGUCAUGACAGGGUUAGGACUGAGGUGUCUGAUUCUUAACUGGGAUUUGGUCAAUUGUAUUAAAAAGGUUAUUCCUCCUUGUUUUCUUGCCCAGUGGGACUCCAUCUAGAGAAACGUUUCCGCCAGCUCUACUAGACUUAUUUCAAAAAGAAAAUAUUCCGUUUUUUCAUUCCACUUUGAAAAGAUAAGGCAUCCAGCUUCCUGUCCUGUGGCUGUUGCUCAGACUUCUGUACUAGUUCUCAGCAAUGUGUGUUCUCCGUGACUAUUGGGUCACAACUUUUAUCAGAUUCCAGAGAUGGGAAAACUCAAGCGGCCAACAGAAGCUCCGGACUGAGAGCAAGCAGUCUCUUUCAUUACUAGAGGGACAGUGAUUCUUUGUCUGCUUCUGACUAUUCACUUUAAACACAAGCACAGAGUUAGCCUGAUAUAGGGUUCUGCAAGCUGAGGGUCAUGACCCUUUAGUGGGUCUUGAGAUCAACUUAGAUGGUGGCUGGCAGCGUUUAGAAAAUGAUUUUGAAGAUAACAACAAGGACCUACUAUAUAGCACAGAGAACUACAUUCAGUUUCUUGUAAUAGCCUAUAAUGGAAAAGAAUCUGAAAAAGGUAUAUAUAUAUAACUGAAUCAUUUUUCUGUACAUCUGAAACACUGUAAAUCAACUAUUUAAAUAAAAAAUGAUUUUAAAAUCACAUUGACUAGAAUAUAAAAUAUUGGUGUAUGUUCAUUAUGAAGGUAGAUUUUUUUGUGUGUGUGUGAAAGUACUCACAUACAGACACACACACACAAGUUUUGGAUGAUGGUAUA
ensembl:lncRNA